UUCCACGAUGAACGGAAACCUCUGAAACCACAAACAAAGCAAACCUUUGUCCAUCAAGUUGUUUCUGUCAGGGGGUUCCCCACACGGUCACCAAGUCUACCAUAUAAGGAGCCUGGCUCCAUAGGGGCUCACGGAGACUGGACCGCCAACCAGGGAGUGUGCAUGUAACAUGCAUGAGACUGACCUAUGCCCUACGCAUGUAUGUAACAACAGUUGUGUAGCUUGCUCGCCAUGUGGGACUGGAGCAGGGGCUACCUCUGACUCUGUUGCCUGCGCUUGGGACCUUUCCCCCCUGCUAGGCUGCCCCUUCUAGCCUGAUCAGAGAAUGCACCUCUGCUUACUGCAACUUGAUAUGCCAAGGGUCUUACUAUUUGGCCCUGACUGGCCCGGAACUCACUCUGUAAACCAGGCUGUCCUCAAAGUCGUUGGGAUCCACCUGAUUGAAGGCAUAUAUGCCACCCCACUCGUCAAGGGUGACCUUCGACAAUGUCACACUGACAAGGCUCCACAGGACAGGUGGCUGGGCACCACGUUUUUAUUUGUUCAUCCUGUGAUGGGCAGGACAUUUCUUUACUCUGGGCUGUGACUAUGAUGCUGCUGAAGACACAGACACUGUAGUGACUUUUUUGUCACAUACUCCAGCUAGAUUAAUUGAGCUGGGACUGUCAGCCACUUCACACAAGGGCAGGACAACAAGAUGUACAACACCCAGCUCCUUCUCAUGCCUGCCUGGACACUGACAUGCUUCCUGCCUUCAUGGACUGACCCUCUGAACCUGAUUUAUGUGCCUGUUUCUGUACACACACGGAAGUUGGGGGCAACUUGCAGAAAUCGGUUCUCUCCUUCCACGUGUGGCGUCCCCAGAGAUGAGAAGACUCAAGUCAUCAGACUAGGAAACUAGGCAGCUAGCAUCCUUGCCCAUUGAGACAUCUUAUAAGCCCAUAGGUACUAGUUUCAGUGUUUAUUUUUCCAAUAAAUAUGCUAAGAUGUUGGUGGUCAGGCAUGCUUGACAGGCAUGCUGUCAGACCCUCUACCUGGUGCCUGGCUGUCUUGCAUGGAAGACUCUCCAGCAAGAAUCCAGCUAGGCAAACCAUCAGGACAGCCUGGCUUAUCUGGACAUGCCGCAUGCAGACACCGAGACCAAGAGAGGACAUAGCAUCCCCUGGGAACAGAGUUACAGGCUCUUCGCAGGACCUCCUGUGUCGCUGCUUGCCUAAAUCCACCUCAGGGAAGAGUGGAUGACACUUGGCUGGUGCCGGAACUCUUUUGCCUUCCACAAGACUAUGAUCCCACAGUCUAUUUCUCCUGCUAAGCAAAUCAUGAAGCCCAAUGCAAAGCACUUAAGAGCCGGGGUUGGAGAGAUGGCUCAGCGGGUAAGAACACUGACUGCUCUUCCAGGGGUCCUGAGUUCAACACACAGCAACCACAUGCUGGCUCCCAACCAUCUGUAAUGGGAUCUGAUGCCCUCUUCUGGUGUGUCUGAAGACAGCUACAGUGUACUGAUCAUAUGUAUAAAAUAAAUAAAUAAAAUCUAAGAAUUCUUAACCGGGCAGUGGUGGCACACACCUUUAGUCCCAGCA
rnacentral:lncRNA from 1 species